ACAUUAGCUCAGUCAGUAGAGCAUCUGCCUUGCAUGCCAAAGGUUCCGGGUUCAAUUCCUGGCAUUUCCAGGUGAAGCU